rnacentral:rRNA from 1 species
UACGUAGGGUGCAAGCGUUGUCCGGAAUUAUUGGGCGUAAAGAGCUCGUAGGCGGCUUGUCGCGUCGGCUGUGAAAACCUGGGGCUCAACCCCGGGCCUGCAUUCGAUACGGGCAGACUAGAGUUCGGUAGGGGAGACUGGAAUUCCUGGUGUAGCGGUGAAAUGCGCAGAUAUCGGGAAGAACACCCGUGGCGAAGGCGGCUCUCUGGGACGGUACUGACGCUGAGACGCGAAAGCGUGGGGAGCGAACAGG